AUUGAACGCUGGCGGCAUGCCUUACACAUGCAAGUCGAACGGCAGCACGGGAGCUUGCUCCUGGUGGCGAGUGGCGAACGGGUGAGUAAUACAUCGGAACGUACCCAGGAGUGGGGGAUAACGUAGCGAAAGUUACGCUAAUACCGCAUAUUCUGUGAGCAGGAAAGCGGGGGAUCGCAAGACCUCGCGCUCUUGGAGCGGCCGAUGUUGGCUUAGCUAGUUGGUGAGGUAAAAGCUCACCAAGGCGACGAUCCGUAGCAGGUCUGAGAGGAUGAUCUGCCACAUGGAGACUGAGACACGGGCCAGACUCCUACGGGAGGCAGCAGUGGGUAAUUGUGGACAAGGGGGGCGACCCUGAUCCAGCCAUGCGGGGGGAAUGAAGAAGGCCUUCGGGUUGGAAAGCUCUUUCGGCGGGGAAGAAAUGGGAACGGCUAAUAGCCGAUGUUGAUGACGGUACCCGCAUAGGAAGCACCGGCUAACUACGUGCCAGCAGCCGCAGUAAUAC
rnacentral:rRNA from 1 species